AUUGAACGCUGGCGGCAGGCUUGACACAUGCAAGUCGAGCGGAGUGAUGGUGCUUGCACUAUCACUUAGCGGCGGACGGGUGAGUAAUGCUUAGGAAUCUGCCUAUUAGUGGGGGACAACAUCUCGAAAGGGAUGCUAAUACCGCAUACGUCCUACGGGAGAAAGCAGGGGAUCACUUGUGACCUUGCGCUAAUAGAUGAGCCUAAGUCGGAUUAGCUAGUUGGUGGGGUAAAGGCCUACCAAGGCGACGAUCUGUAGCGGGUCUGAGAGGAUGAUCCGCCACACUGGGACUGAGACACGGCCCAGACUCCGACGGGAGGCAGCAGUGGGGAAUAUUGGACAAUGGGGGGAACCCUGAUCCAGCCAUGCCGCGUGUGUGAAGAAGGCCUUAUGGUUGUAAAGCACUUUAAGCGAGGAGGAGGCUCUUUUGGUUAAUACCCAAGAUGAGUGGACGUUACUCGCAGAAUAAGCACCGGCUAACUCUGUGCCAGCCGCCGCAGUAA
rnacentral:rRNA from 1 species